GGUGGUGUGGUGUAAUGGCAGCACGUAACGUUGUGGUUAUAACACGACUCCCAAUCCAUUUGGGACCAUUCACUUGACCCGUUCCGAUCUGGGUUCGAUUCCCAGCACCGCCA
rfam:Macrophomina phaseolina MS6 contig00288, whole genome shotgun sequence.